rnacentral:ncRNA from 1 species
GUCGAUCCCGUUCACCCGGUUAUGAUCGCAUCCGGCGUCGGGAGAGGAAUCCGGUGAGAGUCCGGAACGGUCCCGCCACUGUGACCCUGCGACCCAGGGGAGUCAGAGUAUCGACCGAUGCCCGCGACCAUC